CUGGUUUUAGCUGGGAUAGUUGUUGUCUUCAUAGCAGCUUGCGUGGGGUUGUUUGGGAUUUGUGCUGGCAACAGUGGUGAUAACACAGGGACGUUUUCAUUGUCACUGAGCAGAGCUUACACAGAGUCAAGGCCUUUUCUGCUCCUCACGCCACCCCAGUAGCGAAUGGGUUGUGGAUACAGGAGUCAGGAGGGGAUACAGCCAGGACAGCUGACCCCAGCUGACCCAAGGGAUGUUCCAUGCUUUAUGACAUCAUGCUCAGCAUAUAAAGCUCAGGGAAGAAGAAGGAAGGAGGGGACAUUCGGGGUGAUGGUGCUUGUCUUCCCAAGUCACCAUUACACGUGAUGGAGCCUGCCUGGAGAUGGCUGAGCCCCUGCCUGAUGAGGGGAAGAGCUGGCUGGAGAAAUGGAAAACAAAUCUUCCUUCCCUUCCAUCCACAUCAGAAAUCCAGACAGGAAACUGAAUUAUCACCCUGAAUUCAGCUCAUCUUGGAGCCAACCGAGCAGCAAAAUGCAGCUCCUCAGCAGGAAGGGAAGGAGCAACUCAUGAACACAGCCCACAAGGAGGAAGAAGAAAGGCUUGGAAAUCCAAACACAUAAAGGAGCAGUAAAUAAAUGACACUGUUUAAAGCAAA